rnacentral:lncRNA from 1 species
CUGGAAGCAAGUUUGGCAGAGCCGGGCUGGGGUCUCUUUGGUAUUCUUUGCAGGACUUGGAACUCAGUGGGUGCUUAAUAAAUGUUUAUUAUGGGUAAUAAAAUCAACCUUGUUUACACCAGGACUGUCUCCAAAGACCACUUUCCAUACUUAAAAAUAACCUUAAUCUCCUCUCGCCACAUCCUCCACAGAUGGGGUCGACUCUACAGUAUGCCUGGCGAGGGACGAGAAGGCCUACAGACCACACACAUCCCAGCUUAGCUCUCCCCAGGCCCCCACCUCUGAUCUCUGGAGAACCCGGGACACAGGCACGGCAUGGGAUGGGCAGGAGGCGCUGGUUUCCUUCUUUUCUGGUGCGGUGACUGAAGUCAGGUGCUUGCUAGGUGAGUGUUGUUACCACUGAGUUUAAUGCUUAAGCCAGUAGACCUUAGCCAGGCCCCAAGGGGAGCCCAGG